ensembl:lncRNA
UGAUCUGUUUCACAUACGGCAAUAUACAUGUUUCAAUGCUAUUCUCUCAAACCAUCCCACCCUCGCCUUCUCCCACAGAGUCCAAAUGUCUGUUCUUCACAUCUGUGUCUCUUUUGCUGUCUUGCAGAUAAGGUCAUUGUUACCAUCUUUCUAAAUUCCAUAUAUAUGCGUUAAUACACUGUGUUUGUGUUUUUCCCCUGGUGGCUCAGAUGGUGAAGCGUCUGUCUACAAUGCGAGAGACCCAGGUUUGAUCCCUGGGUCGGGAAGAUCCCCUGGAGAAGGAAAUGGCAACCUGCUCCAGUAGUCUUGGCUGGAAAAUCCCAUGGAUGGAGAAGCAUGCUAUAGGAACAGUGAUGGGAUGUUGCUUCUGUGACCAGGUUCCUGAAAGGCUCUGGCUUUUGUCUUGAGUUGCUCUCCUCUCUCUCUUGUUCUCUUGCUCUGAGGGAGGGCAGCUCUAUGAACAGACUCACGUGGAAGGAACUGAUAUCUCCAGCUAAUAGCCAGUGAGGACUUGAGGCUUGCCAACAGCUACAGGAAUGAGCUUGGAAGUAGAUAUUCUGAAAUCUACCAACAGUCAUGUGAGUGGACUUGGAAGUGGAUCUUUCCUCUCUUGACUGAAGCAUCCCAAGGCACUUAGACAGAUGCAGCAAGCUAAUCCACACCCAGGUUCCUGAUGCAUAGACGCUGAGAGAUAAAAACUGCCAAGUCUGUGGGUGAUUUGUUAGGCAGCAGUAGAUAACGAAUACAGCAUGAUGCUUCGCUCAAGAGAUAAAGCAUGCUUUGUAGGAGUACAGAGGGAACAGCGAUUAACUCUGCACGGAGAGGCUGGGCAAGGUUCCCCUGUGGAGAGAAUGAUCCUCCAGCUGGAGAAGAUGGGCAUAGAUAACUGGUGGUGGUCCAUCCUCCCCGACCUCUCUCUUUUAUCACUACUGCACAACCUCCCAGCUCCUCCCGAGAGUUCUCACCUGACAAAGUACCUGGGCCCUGCCAUUCCAUAGAUCUGGACUAACGCGCCACUGGUAAUGGACUAAGAAGGAUACUUCUCUCCUCGCAUCUCUCUUUCAGCCACAGUGGGCUGGCCCUCUCCUGGCUAUCUCAAUUGGGUCCCAAUCCUGGCUGUUUUUGCCCCAGAAGGGGCCUCAGACAUUUCAUCUUUCAUUUUCAAAGUCUGCUCCCGCAUAGCUCCGCAUGUCUCCCUGUGCCCUCCUCAAUUAAAAAUGACACAAAAGUAAAGGAGACACAUAACUCUUUGAAAAGCCUUCCAGAUCCAAACUUUUUAAUGAAGACAGAAUAUAAAGAGCCUGUCUUAUCUCUCCGAUGCGACUCCCAUGUGCUGUAAUCAAGCGGAAUUAAUUAAAAGCAAUCAAGUGGUGAGUUGGCAUGGGGGCCUGCGGCACCAGUCUUUCAUCUCAGCCACAUGAGUCCUCUCCCUGAGGGGUGGGGCUGCGGGCAGCAGAGAGGGCUGGGCCCAGUGCUGGGAGGGAAACCAGUUCACCCAACAAGCUUGAGUUGCCAGGGCAUGGCCAGUGCUGAUGGAAAGAGUUGGAUCCGACUCACAGAAGCAUUUCUGCGUUGUUCUGGGUGAAGAGUCCAGACUAGAUUCUCAACCUUGCAGGCUAUGGAUAUAUGGGGUUGGAUACUUCUUUGUGGUGGGGGCUGUGCUGCGUAUUGUAGGGUGCUCUACCCAUUAGAUGCCACUUGCACCUCCCUAGCUGUGAAAACCAAGAAUAUCUCUAAACACUAUCAAAAGUCUGGAGUGGGGUGGGGAGAGCAAAACUCCCCCCGGUUGAGACCCACUGGUCCAGUUAGAGUUCCUGUCAGUAAAAGUGCAUUGUGUCAGAUGAACAAGAACAUUUCUCAGUCACUGGGGACCCUGGGGGCACUAGGGCAGCUAAAUGAUGACCUCUGGCUUGCAGUCACUUGGGAAAUUCUCUUAUCUGGGAGAGGUACAAGAGCCAGCUGCAUGGAGGCCGGCAGUGUGGAUCCUUGAGUCUAAAGAGGGCUGAUUCCCAUUAAGACUGAAAUAAGAUGCAGGAAAUCUCUCCCACUGGCAAUUAUUUUGUAUUUACACACUCUUCCUAAUGUCAGUCAUCUUCCAAUACUGCAAUAUCGCCCAAUACUCAGCAGUGGAUAGAGGGUGGUGAGGUCGUGGAGAUAGAACAUCAGGGGACUUUCAUGCCUAAUUUGCUGAUGUUGGUUCUCAGUGGUCCCCUUCUGUCUCUGCUUACAAACAUCUCAUGGGAUCUUGGGAUUUUGGGCACCCAUACACCUGAAAGAUAUGAGCUUUGCUAGACUUUUUUUUUUGACACCAAGGGUAUGACCUGGACAGUCCCUUCUUGGUCCAACGAGUAAAUUAAGUGAAUGAAAUCAUAUCCUAUGUAAGAACCACAAGGGAAGAGAAAAGCAUGUUAAGGUACCAAGGGAGUGCAAGCUUUCACCCAGUGGCCUGGUUUAUUAGAUAAAGAAAACAGAGAAUUGAAACAUUGCUUAAUGCAGGAUGGCAAGGGCUGCAGCAUUGCCUGCUCAUAAAGCACAAAGGAGGAGGGGUUUUCACCUGAGCUUGUUUGGUACUGCUUACGUGGAGCCCAUUAUAACUCCCCACUUCGCAUUGAUUAUCUAUCUUUUUAAGCCUUUCCAUCAGAUUGGAUGCUUGCAGGAUGGGGGAGGUUUAAGACCAUCUUUCUUAGAGAGGGGCAGAAGGAAUAGGUGACUGAGAGAGUCAAUUCCUAGGUAUGUUGAUAAGAAGUCCAAGGUCCCCAAGGAGGAGGAAGGGGUCAAGAGCCCUUGAGGCAGAGAAAGGGAUCUGGGGUUCUCAAGGAGGAGAAAAAGACAAACUUUUUUUUUUUUUUUUUAAGCCCAGAGCUGAUUGCACAACAAAACAACUCAUCUUGCUCAAGGAUAUGUUUUCCCUUAAACUCUGUACCAAUGACAACAAGGCAUCCUGCUUGAGGACAUGUCUCUCCUUCUUGAGAACCUUCUGACUAAUCCUGUCAUCUUAAAAUGUAUAUUAUGGGAGUGGGUCUGGUAAGGUCUUUCUAUUGUUAGUUCUAAUCCUGUUAUCUUAAAAUGUAUAUUGUGGGACUGGGUCUGGUAAGGCCUUUACCUGCUUGAGACAUUUUUUUAAUUUAUGGUAACAACCGAUUAAAAAAGUACAUAGCUCCCUUGUUAAGACCAGCAAGGGGGGCAUUCUCUGUCCCCCUUCUGAUAUCUAUGUCAGAAGCUUUCCCUGUCCCUUUUUCACUAUAAUAAAACUCUGCCACACAAAAGCUUUUGCGUGAUCAAGCCUGGUCCCUGGUCCCGAAGCUAAAUCUUC